GUGGGGAAUAUUGGGCAAUGGGCGCAAGCCUGACCCAGCAACGCCGCGUGAAGGAAGAAGGCUUUCGGGUUGUAAACUUCUUUGACAGGGGACGAAACAAAUGACGGUACCCUGAAAACAAGCCACGGCUAACUACGUGCCAGCAGCCGCGGUAAUACGUAGGUGGCAAGCGUUAUCCGGAUUUACUGGGUGUAAAGGGCGUGUAGGCGGGAUUACAAGUCAGAUGUGAAAACUAUGGGCUCAACCCAUAGCCUGCAUUUGAAACUGUAGUUCUUGAGUGAUGGAGAGGCAGACGGAAUUCCUCGUGUAGCGGUGAAAUGCGUAGAUAUGAGGAGGAACACCAGUGGCGAAGGCGGUCUGCUGGACAUUAACUGACGCUGAGGCGCGAAAGCGUGGGGAGCAAACAGGAUUAGAUACCCUAGUAGUCC
rnacentral:rRNA from 1 species